AUGAGUCACUUCCUGCCUGGAUCUUUUACUACAUUUCCCAGAAUCCUCCUUGACUUCUAGUCCCACCUAUCUUGCUUCCUCAAAUAAAGGCCAAGUAGUACUUUAUUUAUUAACCAAUAAAAGAGACAUAUGCAGAAAGACGUCCCCCAUCAACACUAUAUUUAUAUGAAGCUGCAAUGCUGUAUCAGGUGGUUCAGGGAUCCAGUAUGGAUCACUUAAAUACAAUUUUGAGGGAAUCUCACAUAUCUGCUUACAAUGAUGGAUUUCUAAAGACAUUCAGUGAUUCUGUCUCCUGAAAAUUAUGAGAUGUUAAGAACUGAAAUACAAACAAACAAACCUUUAGAGAUAGCACACAAUUUUUUUUCACACAAAGGCAAAGAGACCAGUAAAGCUCUUUACAUCACUAGUAAGUGGCAACAUCAGGGCCUGAGCUAAGCCUGUGAGAUGCACUCCAGGGCACCACUCACAUCACAGGAUCAUGUUUAUUAUGAACUCUUCAGGGUAGUCUGGCAAUCUGUAGACACGAGGAAGAGCAGAUACUGCCGUCUCGAGCCGGAAGACAUCUUCCUCUUCAAAGCAUCUCAUACUUUCUAUUGAGAUGCCUCCGAGUGCUUGUGCCCACUCACGUAGCAAAGGGCAACCUGAUCUCCCCCAAAUCUACUGAUUUCAAUGCUAGUCACACCUUUAAAAAAUACCUCACAGCCCUAUCUAUGUGUGCUUGACCAAAUAAAUAGGCACAUGGCCUACCAGACACAAAAUUAGCUAUCAUUAACCCUUCCUCAAUCCACACAGAAAAACAAAGAAUUUAUAUGUCAGAUUUUCAUUUGGGCUCAUUCCAUGCUUUGACACAUGUUGUUAAAGGCUUCAACUCCCACUUAACACUAGAUUUCAUAAGACAUGAAUAUCAUCUCACUCAACAUUUGUUGGAUCAUAAGAAAUUGGAUUUGUAGUUCCUUCUGGUCUGCAAAAUAUGGUUCAUGAGUAUAUCUUGUAUAAUCUUCACAAGUCACUUUAGUAGCACAAAUUUGAGCAGAAACAAGGCUAAGACUGUCACAUUAACAGGUAAUAAUCAAGAAGGAUCAGAUCCCCUGCCUCAGUGCCAUUGCUCAUCAAGGGCUAGGACAAGAAGUACCAGGUACUCAAAGACAGCAGAGGUCUUGUCAUUUCUAAAUCAAUCUACACCUGCAUGCAAGUUCAGAAUUAAUCACUGUCCACAAGUAGUGUUUAGGGCUUUUCAAAACUGUUUACUCAAUACUAAGUUUACACCUCAGAGAAUUUUCAUAAAAUUUCAUAAAAUUGUUACCAACAUGAAGAUAUGGGACAUGAUGGGGGUUGUCCUUCUGUAUGUAUGUUUCUCUUAUUGGUUGAUGACUAAAACACUGAUUGGCCAGUAGCCAGACAGGAAGCAUAGGCAGGGCUAUCAGACCAGAAGAAGGCUAGGGAGAGGAAGGCAGAUGGGAGCCACCAGAGAGACGCCAUGUAGACACAGAAGAGUAACAUGCCAGGGUAUUACUGGGUAAGUCAAGAGCACAUGGAAAUUAAUUAGAUUAAUAAAUUAAAUUAAUCAGAUUAAUAGAAAUGGGUUAAUAAAUAAGAGACAGCUAGCCAGUAAGAAGCCCUAGGCAUCAGCCAAACAGUUUAUAAAUUAAUACAAGUCUUUGUGAGUUUAUUUGGGGCUAAUCGGCUGCGGGACCAGGCAGAACAGAAACUUUCAUCUACAGGGACAUGAUGGUCACCUCAGAAGCCCCUGCACCAAUGCCCACACCCUAGUCACCAUCUUUCAUAUAAAGUGAACUGAAGUCUACUCAGAUCUUCCCAACUCUGUAAAAAUGAAAUUCUCCUGCAUGUAGGUUUUUGGAUGUGGCAUCCUGAGUGGCAGAUUAUAUUUAUGAGAUUAAUUUAUUUGUUUGUUCAGUUCUGUUAUGUUGUAUAGCAGCCAACAGUAUAAAUUAAACACUGUUUAUUUAUUUGAUUAUCCAGUCAGCAAUUUGAAUGUUUUCCAGUUGGGGAGUUCUGAGAGUUGCUUCCAACAACCUCCCAUACAUAUUAUGGUUUUCCUAUGCAUGUGUCCUGUUCAGUGCCCAGACAUGAACUACUGGGUCAUACAUGUGCACACAUUCAGCUUUACUGGAAACUGCCAAAUAGCUUCCAAACAUGACUGUACCAAUUUGCACAACCUCAGUCAUUGGUGAGAUCUUUUGUUCUAGUUAAUGUCUCUGUGCAAUGUUAUACUUUACAUAAGUCAAUCUACAACACUAUAAAGUCUGCUUUCAAAACUUCAUAGGAAUUUUGCCAUGCUGAAGAUUUUUUGAGAUUUAUAACUGUUCAGAUAUAUAGUUUUAAUUUGUCUUUCACCACUAUACAACAUUCCAAUGUCUGAAAUCUGAAUCCUAUUGAUAAUCAUUGAGGUGACAUCUAUUUUUUCUCUAUUAUAGACAAUGACUAUAACUACUCUUUGGCCCAUGUGUGAGAAUUUCUCAGUAAUAUAAAUAGUAUACCUUCAGUUAUAUUAGAGAACUUCAAAUUGUUUUCUUUUGGGGUGGAGUUGGAAAAGAGUCUUUAUAUAUUGCCCUGGCUUGCCUCAAAUUUGUGAUCCUUCCCCUCAGCCUCCAGAAUAUGUGGGAUUAUAGUGUGUGUCAAAAAACACUGCUCAAAAAUUGCUUUCUGACAUGACUGCACUGACUUCCUUUACUACAGAUGGGCCCUGAGGAUGUCUGUUACUCCUGAGCCUUGCCAACAACUGGUAUAGUUAUGUUUUCCUACUGUUAAUCAGAUGAAUAUGUAAUGCUGUUUUUUGUUUUGUUUUUGAUUGUUUGUUUGUUUGUUUUUGAGACAGGGUUUCUCUGUGUAGCCCUGGCUGUCUUGGAACUCACUCUGUAGACGAGGCUGACCUCAAACUCAUAGGGAUUUGCCUGCCUCUGCCUCCCGAGUGCUGGGGUUAAAUGUGUAUGCCACCAUCACCUGGAAAGUAUAUAAUACUCUUAAUAACUAUUAUGAAUGUUUUCCAAAUACUUAAAUUUAUGAACAGGAAAACAGUUUCACCUCUGUUUCCAUAGCACUGUGUUCCUGUAAUCUUGAUGUUCUUCAUCUAAGUAGGACCCAAGAACCUGAAUGGCCAUGCUCAGGAAUGUCUAGAGCCUCUCUGCAGGGGAAGGUGCCCAGAGUACUUUGUAUGUAGUUGUGAUAACUGGUAGGGAAGUUAGCUCAUGUGUACUUACCUAUGUUACCUUCUCCCCAGCUAGAACAUGGGUUUCUGGAUUGAAAGAGACAGUGUCUAUGAAUAGUUUUAUAUUUCUGGAGCCCAGGCCAUCAUGGACUCAAUAAGUAUUCAAGGAUGUAGGGAAGAAAAGGAAAGAAUUAACACACACACUUCUUCUAUUCAAGCAUUUAUGUAUCUAGAAACAUAAGUAAGGCUUAUUUAUUGAAAUGCAAACCACACAUAUGUUCUUUUGGAUUAACUGUUAGGUGAUUUGAUAAUAUGUCUUCAAUUUUCAACUUGGACUAAUGGCAUGCCAGUACCCACUCUUUUAUAGCAUUUUCUAUAAAGAGGAAAACUCACCGAAAACCUUCAAGCACAUACUAAGGGUAUGGACAAACAUGAAACUGAUAUCAAAGCCUCCAGAACACUGCAGAAUAAAUGUCUACUGAAGCCACCCAAGCUAUAGCAGCCCAUCCCAACAGCACAGCUGAGAGAGCGCUGCAGACCAGCCACCCAGGUUUUCCUGGGCACAUGCCACUCUCUAAAUGCUUCUCUGGGGUUGUAGUUAAAGCAUCAAUAAAUCAGAUGAAGUUUGAUUUACAUGUGAUUUUUAUUCUCUUGGGGGACAUCUGCCACAGACCAUAAGUAAGCAAGCAAAUGAUCAAGCGAACACUAGCAAAGGAUGCUCUCUGAAGAGGGAACAUUUGAGACGAGCAGCAAGGAGAAGCAAGAAGACAGUCUACUGGAAAAACAACUCAAGCACUAGGAAAUGGAGAAUCCCACUCCUGCCAUGACCAGCCACAGUCUGUUUAGGAGACUUUACCAGAGGAUCUAAGCAGCCAGUGUGAUGCAAAGUCCAUGUGUGUCAUGCCUGACAAUACUUCUUGCACCAGUUCUUUUGCAAGCUGCAAUUCAGGUUCAAGCCUUCAGUAUUGAACUCAUUUGCAGCAGACACCAUCACUUUCUUCCUCUAGACCUUGCUUAAAAAAAAUAAAGCUUUGUUUUUGUUCCUUGGUUA